GAAAGGAAAGGGGAAGAUCUGAAGAAGGUGGUACUUUUCUUUUCUAGAAGGACAUUCCUUGGCCAAAGUUCACCAUGGUCUGGUCUGUGUUCUUCCUUGCACUCCUCACUUACUGCACAGUCUUGGAAGGCAUUGAUGGUCAGUCCACUUGGACUCAGCCUCCCUCCAGCUCUGUGUCCCCAGGUGGAACCGUUACUCUUUCUUGUUCAACCACUCACAGUUCCUACUACAUUAGCUGGUAUCAACAGAAAGCAGGAGAAGGCCCUCGUUUUGUCCACUGUGAAGGAUGCAGCAGGGGAGAAGGGAUCCCUGAUCGGUUCACCGCCACCAGAUCUGGGAAUACAGGAUCUUUGACCAUCACCAAUGCAGAGGCUGGAGACGAGGCAGAUUAUUACUGUGGCAACUGGAACAGUGCAGCUACUGCGUUACACAGUGGUACAUUCUUAUGGGGAAGUGUGACAAAAACCUCCUCACUCCAUCUUCAGCCUGAAACCACAAGUAGCAACCCUUGA